rnacentral:rRNA from 1 species
UACGGAGGGUGCAAGCGUUAUCCGGAUUCACUGGGUUUAAAGGGUGCGUAGGUGGGUUGGUAAGUCGGUGGUGAAAUCCCCGAGCUUAACUUAGGGUAACGUAGCCACUUGUAUACUAUCAGUCUUGAAUAUUGUGGAGGUCAGCGGAAUAUGUCAUGUAGCGGUGAAAUGCUUAGAUAUGACAUAGAACACCAAUUGCGAAGGCAGCUGGCUACACAUAUAUUGACACUGAGGCACGAAAGCGUGGGGAUC